GUGUCAGCCGCCGCGGUAAUACGUAGGGGGCGAGCGUUGCCCGGAUUUAUUGGGCGUAAAGCGCGCGUAGGCGGUCUCGUAAGUCUGGUGUGAAAUCUCACGGCUCAACCGGGAGGCUGCACUGGAUACUGCGAGACUGGAGGGUAGGAGAGGAGAUCGGAAUUCCUGGUGUAGCGGUGGAAUGCGUUGAUAUCAGGAGGAACACCAAUGGCGAAGGCAGAUCUCUGGCCUAUCUCUGACGCUGAGGUGCGAAAGCCAGGGGAGCGAAAGGGAUUAGAUACCCCUGUAGUCCUGGCCCUAAACGAUGGAUGCUAGGUGUUGGCAGUUCAACUGUCGGUGCCGCAGCUAACGCAUUAAGCAUCCCGCCUGGGGAGUACGGCCGCAAGGUUGAA
rnacentral:rRNA from 1 species